UUGUCUGAAUCAUAAUGGUUAUCACCAAUCAAUUUGGUUGCAGUCUUGUCUACAGUCUGAAAAAAUAAAAAUAAAAAUGAAUGCUAUUCCCUCAGUGACCACUGAGUAAGUGGCCACAGUUUGGGUAGCUGUUUAAAGAUGAAGAACAGCAAUGUGGGAGGAGAAGUUUGAAGGCCAGCAGAUGUUACAGUAAAUGAAUGCAGAUGUCGCUAUGAGAUGAUUGAUUUAUUCUUGUCUUCAAGAGGAAGCACUACCAAUGAUAUAGCCAUUUCCAUGGCCAGUCUGUCCAUCCAUCUAUCUAUCCAUGUAUUCAUCUCUCAAAUAUAUCCCUAUCUCUAUCUCAUCUCUACCUCUAUCUCCUUCUAUCUCUAGCUCUAGCUAUAUCUCUAUCUCUAUCUCCAGUUACAUAGGAGAAAAGUCAGAAAUUAUAGAGUAAAGGCUUCCUCAAAGUCUUCAUGCUUCUGAAGAAGGGCUUCUGCACUGCCCAGUGAGUUUCCCAGAUCCUCGUUUUCCAGGAAGGCCUGUAGAAGACAGAAAGACACACCUAAGCUGUGUCUGACCGAAGAGAUGAAAGUCCAAGCACUGCUCAUACUGAUGAUGACGCUUGUUCCACAGUUCCAGCAGGGCAGCCCAGUUUUUGGUGUUUCCUGUCCAACAUCAAUUGCUUCUGAUUAUGACAACACCACAUGCUAUAAUUUUAGGUGAACAGAAAGGGAUCAUCUGCAUCUCGCUUGAAAACUUGUAAGUGAUAGGAAUCC
rnacentral:lncRNA from 1 species